AGAGAUGAUGAGAGGUGUGGGAGGUCCUCUUUUGUGCAUAGGCGAUCUGCUGAGCGACGUGGGGGAAUCAAAUGCUUCGCCGCCACUGCAACAACCUGAGACCUCCUCGUUUUCUUCUGUUUCUAGCUUCGAUCAGAGCUUGGACCUCACCAAGUUGUUCUAGGUUUUCCUUUUUUCACAUUCUCAUUUACUGUGAAUUGCAAGAACAAUUCGGUGAGUUUUCCACAUUUUUGUUUGGAAAACCGAAAACCCAUUAGGUGGAUUUUUCAGUUGUAGCAUCCUUUUUGAUAGGAAGACCAAAGAUGGACAGAAGUAAACAACUUUUAUGUGGAAUUUGCUUAUGAGAACUAUGAGCAGCUGAAUGAGGCGCUUUGCGGUACAGAUCAUUCAUGGGCAGCUCUUACUUUGAAGUUAUGCAGUGCUUUGGAAACUGCAAACAAGUUAAUUCAGUCAACAAACUCAAAUGUCAUGUCAUUGUCGGAGAAGGUUGGAGAGCUUGAGGGAGUUAUCAAGAGGGCAGAUUCUGCCAUAUCAGCAGCAAGGGUCGUUCAUGGUUCACUAAACAAAAAGGAAGGACCACUUAUUGGCAAUCAAAAUGCCAAAUGAUCCAUGUCUUGUCGAGAGCAAGGUUAGUUAAUUCGAUCAAGGGAAAAAAAUGUGAAAAUACUAGGCCUUAGAAACUGAGGUGUUUGCUGUUAAAAAAGUCUUUUCCUUUGCUUUUCUUCAUUGUCACAACAAAAGGUAUCAUACAAUAGGAGUAAGAAGCUAACCUGCCUGAUGCAAAAGGGAGGUGUAACUAUCAAUUAUCCAUCUUUUAUGGAUAGAACAAAUCUAUCUCUUGCUUAUUUCCUGAGAUGCCUCGUCAAUAUGAGAGUUUUGGUUUCUACGGUUUUAAGA